rnacentral:rRNA from 1 species
UACGUAGGGUGCGAGCGUUAAUCGGAAUUACUGGGCGUAAAGCGUGCGUAGACGGUUAUUUAAGUCUGAUGUGAAAGCCCACGGCUCAACCGUGGAGGGUCAUUGGAAACUGGGGGACUUGAGUACAGAAGAGGAAAGCGGAAUUCCACGUGUAGCGGUGAAAUGCGUAGAGAUGUGGAGGAACACCAGUGGCGAAGGCGGCCGACUGGGCCGACCCUGACGCUGAGGCGCGAAGGCGUGGGGAGCGAACGGG